rnacentral:rRNA from 1 species
UGUGUUAGUGGAAGCGUCUGGAAAGGCGCGCGAUACAGGGUGACAGCCCCGUACACAAAAAUGCACAUGCUGUGAGCUCGAUGAGUAGGGCGGGACACGUGGUAUCCUGUCUGAAUAUGGGGGGACCAUCCUCCAAGGCUAAAUACUCCUGACUGACCGAUAGUGAACCAGUACCGUGAGGGAAAGGCGAAAAGAACCCCGGCGAGGGGAGUGAAAAAGAACCUGAAACCGUGUACGUACAAGCAGUGGGAGCACGCUUAGGCGUGUGACUGCGUACCUUUUGUAUAAUGGGUCAGCGACUUAUAUUCUGUAGCAAGGUUAACCGAAUAGGGGAGCCGAAGGGAAACCGAGUCUUAACUGGGCGUUAAGUUGCAGGGUAUAGACCCGAAACCCGGUGAUCUAGCCAUGGGCAGGUUGAAGGUUGGGUAACACUAACUGGAGGACCGAACCGACUAAUGUUGAAAAAUUAGCGGAUGACUUGUGGCUGGGGGUGAAAGGCCAAUCAAACCGGGAGAUAGCUGGUUCUCCCCGAAAGCUAUUUAGGUAGCGCCUCGUGAAUUCAUCUCCGGGGGUAGAGCACUGUUUCGGCAAGGGGGUCAUCCCGACUUACCAACCCGAUGCAAACUGCGAAUACCGGAGAAUGUUAUCACGGGAGACACACGGCGGGUGCUAACGUCCGUCGUGAAGAGGGAAACAACCCAGACCGCCAGCUAAGGUCCCAAAGUCAUGGUUAAGUGGGAAACGAUGUGGGAAGGCCCAGACAGCCAGGAUGUUGGCUUAGAAGCAGCCAUCAUUUAAAGAAAGCGUAAUAGCUCACUGGUCGAGUCGGCCUGCGCGGAAGAUGUAACGGGGCUAAACCAUGCACCGAAGCUGCGGCAGCGACACUGUGUGUUGUUGGGUAGGGGAGCGUUCUGUAAGCCUGC